rnacentral:lncRNA from 1 species
GGAGGCUGCUCAAGACACCCAAAGUAUUCUGGAAGCAAGCACCCUCUGGGGCCCUGUGCUUUGUCAGAGCAGCUGGGCUAGCUGUGAGGAGGUCAGCGAAAGGUCCUGAUGUCAGCUGAAGAGAGAAAUGGUGCCUCAUAGAGUGUCCUCGGCUUACCUUUCUGUCUGGAGGGUGUCUACUCAAUUCAAGCGUAAAACGUUUUUGAGAGAAGACCCAAUUUUCCUAUUUUGCCAUUCCAGUGGUUUUUGGCAAGCCAGGACACCCGUUCAUCCUUUCGGAAACUGAUCUAGCUGUCAUGUUUGCCUUAGCUGAGCCAGGAACUGCACCCACACAGACUCUUUGUUGGGCCAGUCAAAUCUCUGCUCAUUUACUAGGAAACUUCUCUUUCUCCUCGAGUUUUCCUAGAGAAAGAUAUUUAUACAUGUAUUUGUACAUGGAUUUCUCCUAUAAAAUGAUGACAGUGUGGAUUUUGAUUUGACUUUUCUCCAAGAUGAUGCCUCUUAAGUCACCCUUCUUAUUUUAUUGUUAUUAUUUCUAUGAAAUCAUUUAACUGGAACCUUUCUAACUACACAAAUCAUCUACAUCUGCAGAGUCUUCACUGCUCCUUCACCAAGAAACCUUACACCACAACAGAUCAUAGUGAUUAUACUAUGUAAUUUUGAAACUUAUAGCAUUUAAAAAUAUAUCUGUGGCUCAAAAAAUAAAUUCAAGGUCCUUUUCUGAUAUGAAAUUGUGUGUGUGAAGAUCCACUAUAGAAAGUAAAAUUAAAAAAAACAACCAAAAAAACCUGAGAGUGACCGUGGUGGAGGUGGAAGCCAGGAUGUGGGAUUGGGCUGAAACUCGAUGUAUUUGAUACUUCUCUUAUUUUCUGUGCAGCUUUGAGAGCUACCCUACUCCCACCCCAACACUUGGGGUUACCUGGAGCACAGUUUGCAAACUACUGAUCUCAAUAUUGUUCACUUAACACUUAACCAGUUACUGUCCUUUGAUAUUUUUUGCACUGCAACCUUGUUAUUAUAUUUUGCAUGGUUAUUUAACUUUCCAAGUAUUUGUGUUGACUUCCCCAGGAGGUUGUAAUUUUCUUGAAAGUAGAAACAGUAUCUUGUAUCUCAGAGAGGAGCCAAAUCUAAAUCCACAUAGCCAAAGUUAGUACUCAGCUUGUGAAUAUGGAGCUCUGUCAAUUAUUAAUUGAUCAUUGAUUCUGUCUGGUCUUAGACUCAGAGGAGGAAACCGUUCAGGAACAUGGACAUGAGUAGGUAGUUAAGUCUAAGUAGCACAAUCAGGUGGUAAGUUGGGCUCUUGCUCUGAAAGGUCAAGAUAUGGAUCCUAGGCUGCUGACAUUCUUACAAAAGAAUGCCAUCAGGCACAGUGAUUCAGAAAACAGUGCAUACUUUUUACUAACGGCAAUAUUUACUUGAUAUAACUGAACGGAUAGGUGUAUAAAAGACUCAGAAUAUGGCUCCACCUAUUCCAAGUGUGAUUUUGAUGUGCACAAGGUUUCAAAUCACAAGUGGAAUUGAUAUCAGAUUCUGUCCUUAUCCCUUCAUAGAACACUGUUCAAUACCCAAGAAAUCAGAAAAGAUAUGGGAAACUAAGUUCUCUUAUCAAAACUAGCAAUGUGACUAAUUACAUGGAGAAUGAAUGGGCAGUAUUAUAAGCAACACUUCAAUAGUCAGCUUAGGAUAAAAUUUUUCGUUCUGUUCAUUGGUGUUACCACUGUCUAAUGGCCAGCAUGACUCAAAAAAUAUAUUUGUAUCCACAAUAGUUGGUGACUCCCAUGAUUGUUAUUUAUCCAACAUACAAUAUCUGAAGAUGGUUGUGUUUUUCAAUAUGUUUUAUAAUCAUAAACCACUUGUUUCUCUCCAUGUGAACUAAAUGUUUUAUAAAGGAAGAAUAAACAUAUAACAUAUGCUA